AAUAGAUACCCUGGUAGUCCACGCCGUAAACGAUGUCGACUUGGAGGUUGUGCCCUUGAGGCGUGGCUUCCGGAGCUAACGCGUUAAGUCGACCGCCUGGGGAGUACGGCCGCAAGGUUAAAACUCAAAUGAAUUGACGGGGGCCCGCACAAGCGGUGGAGCAUGUGGUUUAAUUCGAUGCAACGCGAAGAACCUUACCUACUCUUGACAUCCAGAGAACUUAGCAGAGAUGCUUUGGUGCCUUCGGGAACUCUGAGACAGGUGCUGCAUGGCUGUCGUCAGCUCGUGUUGUGAAAUGUUGGGUUAAGUCCCGCAACGAGCGCAACCCUUAUCCUUUGUUGCCAGCGGUUAGGCCGGGAACUCAAAGGAGACUGCCAGUGAUAAACUGGAGGAAGGUGGGGAUGACGUCAAGUCAUCAUGGCCCUUACGAGUAGGGCUACACACGUGCUACAAUGGCGCAUACAAAGAGAAGCGACCUCGCGAGAGCAAGCGGACCUCAUAAAGUGCGUCGUAGUCCGGA
rnacentral:rRNA from 1 species